rnacentral:misc_RNA from 1 species
GAAGGAAAAUUAAUAUUAUUAGUCAGAUAUUGAGAUGAGUGUUUUGAAAUGUAAUCUAUUUAUUUAGUUCAACCUCUGCAGCCGUAUCUAAAUAUGAUACCCUACGUGUUCAAUAUAUAUAUUGUUUUUGGAGGCCAUUCUAGUCAAGCUAGGGAAUUUCGGGUGUCCCAGUCAGUAAGUUUACUUAUUUGUGCGCCAAUU